rnacentral:rRNA from 1 species
ACUCCUACGGGAGGCAGCAGUAGGGAAUCUUCGGCAAUGGGGGCAACCCUGACCGAGCAACGCCGCGUGAGUGAAGAAGGUUUUCGGAUCGUAAAACUCUGUUGUUAGAGAAGAACGUUAAGUAGAGUGGAAAAUUACUUAAGUGACGGUAUCUAACCAGAAAGGGACGGCUAACUACGUGCCAGCAGCCGCGGUAAUACGUAGGUCCAAGCGUUGUCCGGAUUUAUUGGGCGUAAAGCGAGCGCAGGUGGUUUCUUAAGUCUGAUGUAAAAGGCAGUGGCUCAACCAUUGUGUGCAUUGGAAACUGGGAGACUUGAGUGCAGGAGAGGAGAGUGGAAUUCCAUGUGUAGCGGUGAAAUGCGUAGAUAUAUGGAGGAACACCGGAGGCGAAAGCGGCUCUCUGGCCUGUAACUGACACUGAGGCUCGAAAGCGUGGGGAGCAAACAGGAUUAGAUA